AUUGAACGCUGGCGGCAUGCCUAACACAUGCAAGUCGAGCGGAUGAAGGGAGCUUGCGCCUGUAUUCAGCUGCGGACGGGUGAGUGAGGCCUACGAAGCUGCCUGGUCUUUAGGGAUAACGUCCCUUAAGGGGCGCUUAUACCGCAUACGACCUUAUUGUGAAACUGGUGGUUCUUCGGACCUCACGCGUCUUGAUGUGCCUAGGAUGGAUUAGCUAGUUGGUUAGGUAAAGGCGUACCAAGGCGACGAUCCGUAACUGCUCUGAGAGGAUGAUCAGUCACACUGGAACUGAGACACGGUCCAGACUCCUACGGGAGGCAGCAGUGGGGAAUAUUGGGCAAUGGGCGAAAGCCUGAUGCAGCAACGCCGCGUGUGUGAAGAAGGUCUUCGGAUCGUAAAGCACUGUUAGUUGGGAAGAAGAGAAGUAAGAUUAUCCGUUGCUGUCUUGACGUUACCAACAGAAUAAGCCACGGCUAACUUCGUG
rnacentral:rRNA from 1 species